CCCGCAGGCGCCGAAGGCUUCGAGCCGGGCGGGCUGUGGCGGCGUGCGCUGGGCGGGAAAGGCUGAGGCGUCCGUGCCCUGAGGCGGCCCGAGCAGAGGGGCGGCCCCAGUGCUGAACCUGGGGAGCUCAGCGAGACGGAAAGGCGAGAGAGAACGGGGCAGCAGCAGCUGCUCCAAAGCUGUUGCAGAAUGGCUCACCCAUUUUGGAUUCUACAAAGUUACGGUAGAGACGUGAUGCAGCCACUCUCCAGGCUGGGACCUGAAGCGCACAGAACUCAAGAAGAGCCAAGGGAGCAAAUUAACAGCAGUGUGUUCUACAUUGACCAUCUUCCUAUCAUUUCAGAAUGUAUUUUUAAGUGUGUAGGAUGACUCUAACAGUAUUCAAAGUACGUACUUCUCUAAAAUGCCUUGAAAAACCAUUUGCCAUGUAGUUUGUGAUCAUUAUUGUUUAGAAAGCGUGCUGCCAAAUGAAGAGGGGAGGAGUAAGAG
rnacentral:lncRNA from 1 species